rnacentral:rRNA from 1 species
UACAGAGGUCUCAAGCGUUGUUCGGAUUCAUUGGGCGUAAAGGGUGCGUAGGUGGCGCGGUAAGUCGGGUGUGAAAUUUCGGAGCUUAACUCCGAAACUGCAUUCGAUACUGCCGUGCUUGAGGACUGGAGAGGAGACUGGAAUUCACGGUGUAGCAGUGAAAUGCGUAGAUAUCGUGAGGAAGACCAGUGGCGAAGGCGGGUCUCUGGACAGUUCCUGACGCUGAGGCGCGAAGGCCAGGGGAGCAAACGGG